ACAGCAGCAGCCGCGGUAAUACGAAGGGUGCAAGCGUUAAUCGGAAUUACUGGGCGUAAAGCGUGCGUAGGCGGUUUGUUAAGUCUGCUGUGAAAUCCCCGGGCUCAACCUGGGAAUGGCAGUGGAUACUGGCAAGCUAGAGUGUGUCAGAGGAUGGUGGAAUUCCCGGUGUAGCGGUGAAAUGCGUAGAGAUCGGGAGGAACAUCAGUGGCGAAGGCGGCCAUCUGGGACAACACUGACGCUGAGGCACGAAAGCGUGGGGAGCAAACAGGAUUAGAUACCCGUGUAGUCCCUGUCUCUUAUAC
rnacentral:rRNA from 1 species